AGUCAUAUGCUUGUCUCAAAGAUUAAGCCAUGCAUGUCUCAGUACAAGCCACACUAAGGUGAAACCGCGAAAGGCUCAUUAAAUCAGUUAUGGUUCCUUAGAUCGUACCCACAUUUACUUGGAUAACUGUGGUAAUUCUAGAGCUAAUACAUGCAAACAGAGCUCCGACCGGAGACGGGAGGAGUGCUUUUAUUAGAUCAAAACCAAUCGGCGGCGGUGGCGUUCGCGUCUCCGUUCGCCGCUCAACCUGGUGACUCUGAAUAACUUUCCGCUGAUCGCACGGUCUCGCACCGGCGACGCAUCUUUCAAAUGUCUGCCUUAUCAACUGUCGAUGGUAGGUUCUGCGCCUACCAUGGUCGUAACGGGUAACGGGGAAUCAGGGUUCGAUUCCGGAGAGGGAGCCUGAGAAACGGCUACCACAUCCAAGGAAGGCAGCAGGCGCGCAAAUUACCCACUCCCGGCACGGGGAGGUAGUGACGAAAAAUAACGAUACGGGACUCAUCCGAGGCCCCGUAAUCGGAAUGAGUACACUUUAAAUCCUUUAACGAGGACCAAU
rnacentral:rRNA from 1 species